AUUAAAUGAGAGUUUGAUCCUGGCUCAGGACGAACGCUGGCGGCGUGCCUAAUACAUGCAAGUAGAACGCUGAAGACUUUAGCUUGC
rnacentral:rRNA from 1 species